AGAAGAGUAAAAAGACCAGCUAAUUAAAUGAGAUCAGUUGUUAUCGAUGAUUAUCACCGAUUACGAACCUGGUUGGAACAAAAACCUGCAACCACAGGAGGCCCCAGGACCGAGUUUGGGAACCACUGCUCUAGAACAUCUCCGGAGAGACCUGAAGAUGGCGGUUUACAGACAGUUCCCAUCAAACCUAAUGGAGCCUGAGAAGGUCUGCCAGGAAAAAGGGAAUAAACUGCCCCAAUCCAGGUGUGCAAAGCCUAUAGAGACUUACCCAAGAAGACUCGACGCUGUGACUGCUGCCAAACGGGCUUCUACAGUGUACUGAAUUUCAGAUUAGUCUGACGAUGGAUGGGUCCUCACUGUGUAUGCUGCCUAAGAGUGGUGUGUCACUUACCCCCCUAAACCCCCACCUAGCAGCUGUGCUCCCAGAGAUGGUAAUGUCAGGUUCUACCCCUCCUCGGC